AGCGAACGCUGGCGGCAGGGCUUAACACAUGCAAGUCGGAACGCCAUCUUCGGAUGGAGUGGCAGACGGGGUGAGUAACGCGUGGGAACGUACCCUUUGGUUCGGAAUAUUCUCGGGAAACUGAGAGCAAUACCGGAUAAGCCUACGGGGGAAAGAUUUAUCGCCAAAGGAGCGGCCCGCGUCAGAUUAGGUAGUUGGUGGGGUAAAGGCCUACCAAGCCUACGAUCUGUAGCUGGUCUGAGAGGAUGAUCAGCCACACUGGGACUGAGACACGGCCCAGACUCCUACGGGAGGCAGCAGGUGGGGAAUAUUGCACAAUGGACGAAAGUCUGAUGCAGCAACGCCGCGUGGAGGAUGACACAUUUCGGUGCGUAAACUCCUUUUAUAUGGGAAGAUAAUGACGGUACCAUAUGAAUAAGCACCGGCUAACUCCGUG
rnacentral:rRNA from 1 species